rnacentral:lncRNA from 1 species
GCCGGUUCAUCCCUUAAAUAAAAACAGACCACGAUCAAGCAGCUGAGUUGAACAUCCUGGAAAGGGAGGAGGGGAUGCUCAGUAAAAGGGGAAGUGGGUGAGACCUCACGGCCACCGACCCCGGCGCUGCCUGAGGGUCAGAGGAGGGGAGGAGGGCCGGCAGCCGGGGGGGGUCCGGGGGUGGAGGCGAUGGCCCCCAGCAAAGCGCUGUGGCUGAUGGUGUCCCACUGCCCGCCCCACGCGGGGCCUCCUGGUGCACAACUGCCGGGUCCGGCGCUGGGGUUCCACGGCCGCAUCCCUACGUGCCGCUCCUCUCCUUCACCUUCUCAGCUUUGCUGUCCUCGGGAGGCGGCGGUUUGAUGGUGACGGGCUGGGAUGUCCUCCGCGGAGGGGAGGGCUUGGGCUGCACUUGCUGCUGGACUGUGUUGUAGUACGUGACCCCGCCGUACACCUGGGACUGCGCCUGCGUGUUGGAAUAGAGGUGUGGAGGGGGCGGUGGGGGCAGCGCUCCCGGGGGGUACGGGUAGCCCGGAUUCCCAAAAUUCAUGACUCCAGGGGGGGAGAAGUAGGUCGGUGCGAGCAGCUGCUGUGGCGGGGGCUGCCCUGGGGGCAUGGAGACCGGCGG